AAAGGUGUUCUGGGGGACGUAGGGACAAGGCGUUUACAGAAAGGGUGGUGGAGGGAAAGAGGAGAGGCUCGGUGGCUCCUCCCAGGAGGUUUUCGGGAGGUGGGGGGGGGGAAGGAGAGCGGAGAUCCAGGCAGGAAGGAGAGGCCCGGCAGGGAACAGGUGGGGGAGAGCCAGGGUGUGCCUCGUGGAGUGCAAGGGGAAGAAGGCAGGUGACUCCUGGGUGCGUGGGCACCAAGGGACACAAGGCUGGAAGGGGUCGCUGCACCCUGCACCCGACCAGCUCAGCCUCUCUCCGCCUCUCUCCACAGAAGGUGCUGCCUCCGCCUCCGAGGGGAGCCCCCGCAUGCAGCCUAUGCUUUCAGCUCAGGAGGCUGGAAACUCCAGAUCAGGGUCAUCAGGGUGAGCUCCCAGAGGCCCGCUUCCUGGCCUACAGAUCGCCAGCCGUCUUCUCGAGGUGUCCUCACGUCCCUCUGUGUGUUCUCACGGACAGAGAACUCUCUGGGGUCUGUUCUCAUAAGGGCACAAGGGCAAUCAUGGGAACCCACUCUCGUGACCUCAUCAAACCCUAAUGUGCUUGCUAGCACCGUGACAGUGGGGGCAAGUUUCCAUGAAUGAAUUCUGGGGAGACACAGUUCAGUCCACAGCAAAUGCCCAAAGCCACCCGGAAGGACCGUGCCCCUCCCCUACCCAGGUGCAAGUCGUGCUGUCGCAACUGUUCCCCAGGGCUUGUGUGUCCCCAUCCACGUGCUGAGGGAGCCAGAGGGGCGUCUCAGGGGCAGCCAGACGAUGUGCGUGCUGGCCCCACGGAAGGGCCACUAGGGUCUCCUGGUCCCUCCUCUGCCAGCCAUCCCCCCGGGGAGUGCUGGAGGAGUGCCCCCUUCCUGCUGUGGGAAGGCAGGUCGAAGCAGGGUGUCCCUCCCCAGGACCAGCCCCACCCCACGGGAAGC